AGUUGACCCCCCUGCUAUAACCCCCUCCCCGAGUUAUAAAAAGCAGCAAAGAAUGUUUCACUCCCUAACUCCCCAGAGCCGGGAAUAAAAGGGUUAACUCCCUAACUCCCCAGAGCGGGGAAAUAAAAGGGUUAACUCCCUAGCUCCCCAGAGCUAUCAGAGCAGAGCAGAAAGAAAUGCCUAACUCCCCAGAGCUAUCAGAGCAGAGAAAAAAAAAAAAGAAAGAAUGCACCUGCAAGGUCGUUCUGUCUCAACGAGAUAAGUAAGACAAGUAACUGUUCUGUUCUGGGCACAUAGUGACUGGGCUAGGACCCCCAGUCUCCAUGGUUACUCAACCCCAAACCCCUCCAAUCAAUUUCUGCCAAAUCCUAUGCUGCUCAAAAUUAACCAAUGCGAUUUGCUUCUGUAAACUUGCUUGCCUCCCGCUUGUACCCUUAAAAACCCUACACAAAUUCCCCUCGAGGCCCUCCGCACUUGUUUGCCUGGGGGACCCCAUGCGCAUGGAAAUAAACUUUUUACUCCUCACUACGAGCUGAGUCCUUGGGGUCUUCUCCCCUGCGACACCGGUUCUUACAUAUGGAGGCCCUAGCGAGAUAGUAGUCUCACGGGAGACGACCUCAACGGCUCCGCCUUACACCGCGGGUGAGUACGACCGGUCACUUUUGUUUACUUUCAUUUUGAGAUCGAUCUACCAGUACUUUACAUCCCAAGCCGAGCGGCUCCAAUCUAGGGGCAAUUUCUGUUAUCUGUUCUCUGGUGACCGGGGGACGCCCCACACGGUUUUCCGUGACUCACCGUCUGCGAUAGGAUUUUCCUAUCGGUCUGGGGAAUUUCAUUCCCAAUCUGUGGUCCUUCUGGGCCAGUCUGGGGAAUUUCAUUCCCAAUCUGUGGUCCUUCUGGGCCAAUCUGGGGAAUUUCAUUCCCAAUCUGUGGUCCUUCUGGGCCAAUCUGGGGAAUUUCAUUCCCAAUCUGUGGUCCUUCUGGGCCAAUCUGGGGAAUUUCAUUCCCAAUCUGUGGUCCUCUGGGCCAAUCUGGGGAAUUUCAUUCCCAAUCUGUGGUCCGUCUGGGCCAAUCUGGGGAAUUUCAUUCCCAAUCUGUGGUCCGUCCGGGCCAAUCUGGAGGCACCCCCUAAGGUGACUCAUUUGGUGUGAAACUCAUGCGUGAGAGUGAGGUGGCCGGCCUGUUUGUCCUGUGUGUUGUGACUGUUGUGAUCGGUUAUUUGUUGUGUCGCGCGUACGCUAACCACUCUUUGUCUUCAGAACACCAUGGGACAAACGACAUCGUCCCCAUUGUCCCUCACCCUCGACCAUUGGUCAGAGGUUUGAGAGAGGGCUCACAAUCUCUCCUUACAGGUUAAAAAAGUAAAUGACAGACUUUCUGCUCGUCUGAGUGGCCCACAUUCUCCGUGGGUUGGCCACCAGAGGGGACUUUCCACCUUCCCCUCAUCUUAGCAAUUAAAAACAUCAUCUUCCGCCCCGGACGAAGAGGGCCACCCGGACCAGCAUGCCUACAUCUUGGUAUGGCAGGACCUCAGGAAAGAGCCCCCACCGUGGGUAAAACCCUUCCUUCCUCCGCCCUCUCCUUGGUUGCCUGUUUAAACUUGUUACUAACUUAGGGGCUUGUUGCCCAUUUCUGUUGCAGGAUCCAUAUGGCUUAUUAGAUUCAAGGUUCAUGAUAAGAAAAAUUAUUUCUUUUAGCUGACCAAACUAUGCAAGAAGCUCCCUUUGUUUGUGUCUUUAAUGUUGUGGCAUCUUGUUUAAUAUGUAAGACUUCAAUUGAUUGCUUGCAACCUCAACAUACCUUUUAAAAGGAGUAUUUUUUUCCUCUCUGAUAAAAAUGUAAACAUGUGCACAUAUAUAUGUAUAUCUAUGGUUAUUAAGAAUCAUAUCAACUUUACCAAGUAAAAACCAGGUCAUACUAUAUUUGAGCCAGUUAAAAGGUUACAGUUUUGUUUUUAAAAUACAGCAUUUUUAUGUGGUAAAAAGACAUAAAAUAAGUAUGUUUUAGACUACUAAAAGGUGACUUCAAGGGUUUUGUUGAGAGUUUUGAUGUUGUCUGAGAAGUGAGAAAAAAGGUAAUUGACUGGUAAUAGUAAAAAGAGGGACAAAGAGAGUGGUCUUCAAGUAAAGGUGUCUGGCUAUGCCAGAAUGUAAAAAAAGAUUAAAGCUUAGUUUGAGAGGUAUUAUUGUAAGUUAUAAAAGGCUCAAGAGGAUGUGAAUUUUAUUUGUCUUGGUUUAUAGUACUACAAAUAACAGGUUUGACAAAAAGUAAAUGUGUUCAGAAUUUGACAGUAUUAGAUCAGUUUUGAUAAAAGUAUACAUAAGAUUGUACUUUGCUACAAAAUGUUUCCAUUAAAAUGAGAUUAUAGGUGAUACUACAAAUAAGAUACAAGUUCUUACAUGUACUGUGAACAUCUGGGAGAUUAUGCAGCACAAUUUUGUUACCUAUAAAAAAGCCCUUUUUGUUAAGAAUAUAAUUUUAGUAAAAUGAUGGCCUGCCACGUGACACCCUUGGACAAAAAACAGUGUGCCAUCCAGAUAAAGCCGGCUCUCUGAUCCGGAAUGCCAAAACCAUGUUCUCCUUUUGUGCCACCCUGACUGGACAUCCAGAGCCCUGCUUCUAGACCCAGAGUCAAUGAUAUUCAAGACUUCUUCAGCUUUAAACCCAGCCACCCUUAUGCCUGAUGAUGACCUGGAGGAACAAAGGACACCUCUCCAUGAGUGUGCUGACAUCCUCAAACUGCAGCGGAACCUACAGGCUGAUCUUACUGACCAGCUUUUGGAAAAUGCCGACAACUGUUCGAUGGAAGCAGCUUCAUCCAGAACGGCAGAGACAGAUGAGUGGCCGGGACAACAGUGACCACCAAAAAGGAGGUACUCUGGGUUAAAGGGUUAGAGCCUAGCACCUCUGCCCAAAAGGCAGAGCUCAUUGCUUUGACUGAUGUACUAAAACUAGCCACAAAAAAGAGGGUAAACAUCUAUACUGAUAGUACAUAUGCUUUUGCUACUAUACAUAUACAUAGAGCCAUCUAUUAAGAGUGAGGUCUCUUAACCUUGGCCAGAGCUAAGAUUAAAAAAAAAAAAGAGGGCUCCACAAAUCCUAAAUUUGCUGGCAGCAGUCUGGCUGUCAGCAGAUUGCUGCUAUUCACCUGAGGAAACAAUUUGGCAGAUCAGGCCGCUAAAAGAGUAACAAUCACAUCAGAGAGGCCAGCCAAAAAAAAAAAAGUAAGUAACUGCUCUGAUGCGAGUCCCCCCGACCUUAUCAAAACCAGUCUACACAAAAAAGACUACACUGGUUGUUGUGAGCCAUCUAACGGAUUCCAGUCCCUGUGACUAAAAGACAAGUACAAAAUUUCUAAGAGCCACAGGACUGAUCCAAAGUUUGGGACCCUGGCAGAGGCCUGUUGUCUACCUUUCCAAGAGACUUGGUUCUGUGGCAACCAGAUGGCCACCCUGUCUGCGGUGAUUUCUUCAAUGGCCCCCUCAUAAAGGAGGCUUAAAAAUUGACUUUUGGACACAAACUCUUAAUUGUUUCCUCCUAUUCACUGGAGACUCUCAUCAAGGCCCCACCAGACUGAUAGAUGUCUAAUUCCUGAGCCAUGCAUUAUCAGGCACUAUUUCUAGAAACAACAGCUUCAAACUCGGCUACUUUGCUGCCUGAGGAUGACCCCUCGUUGCCUCAUUGAUCACCUCACGAAACAUCGACCUUAUGUAGUUGAUAAGCUACUGUCUAGAGUUCCAUCCUACUUCUCUGAUGAAAACAGUUAUGUCUCUCAAGAGCCCAUUUGCACUUAAAAAGACCAACAUCUGACAGCUCAACUUCCAAGAGAUUCCGGGGGCUAAUAUCAAGCUAGCCCAGUCUGUGAGCUUCAGAUGCCCUCAGUGCCAAUUGGUAAAUCUAAAAGUACUGCAACAAAUAAAAACCACUGGUUAUCGUGGGACUAUGCCUAAAAACACUAAAAAAUAGAUUUUACAAAAAUAAAAAGCCUAAACUUCAAAAAUAUAAGUGUUUUCUACUUAGUCUGAGUCAGCUCUGAUAGCAGUUUCUCUGAUUUGGUCUCCCUUUUUAUCCGUGGGGUCCAACAAUGGCCUGGCUUUUAUAGCCUAGUAACUCAAAUUAACCUAAGCUUUACAGAUCAAUUAAAAAACUCGAUUGGGCUUACCAGCCUCAGAGUUCAAAAAAGGUAAAAAGAUAAGUUAGAUUUUAAAGACUAUAAUUACUAAUGGCCUUAAAAACUGGCGAAAACUGGGUGAGUCUCUUUUCCUUCUGCCCCUUUACAUGCGUGAUACACCCCCUAUGUUGCAGAUAUUUCCUCUUUUGAAGUUUUAUGUGAGGUUUCUAAAAAUUAGCUAAUUUAACUAAUCAAGAUCUUAUUAAGUCUCCCCAGACUUUUCAGCUAGCUGUGACUUCCAUCCACUGGUUACUUUGCUGCUGCCCACUACAGCUAAAGAGCCUAGACACCUGGACAAGCGACCUCACCGUAAAUCUCUUGAGAGCGACCUCACCGUAAAUCUCUUAAGCCGCAAUAGAUUGUCAAAACAGCUAAAAGCCUGCCUAGAUUCAACGUUCCCAAUGCAGACAAGUCCCAACUUCAAAAGACCGUCAGCCUACAAAUAAGUAAACUGUCAUUUCUUCCAAGGACACUUUAAAGCUUAAGAUUGUCUAAUAUAACUGAUAAUUUUGUGUUCUCCUCCUUUAUAGAGACCCCAAGGAGGCCUCUGUCUGACUUAAAAAUUGUUACUUAUAUGGUAAAACAGAGUAAAUUUAAAUGUUGGUUUUCUUUCUCCUUUUGGUUAACAGCUUUAAUGACAGCUACAAGACCUUUGUUAAUCCUCCUACUGGGCCUUAUGUUAUAAACAAGUUGAUAAACUAUGUCAAAGUUCUUAAAAGCUUGUGAUUUUAAAGACACAUACAAGGUUAUAAACAGAUGCAAUAAAAAAGCUAAGAAAAAAAAAUUAAAUCUCGAGAGCCCCCUUCAAGUAAAGCCAAAAUGUUCUCCUUCUGGAAAUCAAUCCUGCCCUAUAUUCUCCCUUUACUGGGACCCCUGGCUGGAUUCAUUAUAGUCAUGGCUAUAGCCCCUUACCUCAUUAACCGAGUAACCCAGUUUGUGAGGGCUCAGAUCUCUCAAGUAAAGGUUAUGGUGCUACGUCAACAGUAUGACCCCUUACCAAUACAGGACCUUUAAGAUUAAAAGUCAUCGAAAAAAAAAAAGGGGGGAAUGUGAGAGUUGACCCCCCUGCUAUAACCCCCUCCCCGAGUUAUAAAAAGCAGCAAAGAAUGUUUCACUCCCUAACUCCCCAGAGCCGGGAAUAAAAGGGUUAACUCCCUAACUCCCCAGAGCGGGGAAAUAAAAGGGUUAACUCCCUAGCUCCCCAGAGCUAUCAGAGCAGAGCAGAAAGAAAUGCCUAACUCCCCAGAGCUAUCAGAGCAGAGAAAAAAAAAAAAAAAGAAAGAAUGCACCUGCAAGGUCGUUCUGUCUCAACGAGAUAAGUAAGACAAGUAACUGUUCUGUUCUGGGCACAUAGUGACUGGGCUAGGACCCCCAGUCUCCAUGGUUACUCAACCCCAAACCCCUCCAAUCAAUUUCUGCCAAAUCCUAUGCUGCUCAAAAUUAACCAAUGCGAUUUGCUUCUGUAAACUUGCUUGCCUCCCGCUUGUACCCUUAAAAACCCUACACAAAUUCCCCUCGAGGCCCUCCGCACUUGUUUGCCUGGGGGACCCCAUGCGCAUGGAAAUAAACUUUUUACUCCUCA